CGGCGUGCCUAAUACAUGCAAGUAGAACGCUGAAGAGAGGAGCUUGCUCUUCUUGGAUGAGUUGCGAACGGGUGAGUAACGCGUAGGUAACCUGCCUUGUAGCGGGGGAUAACUAUUGGAAACGAUAGCUAAUACCGCAUAACAAUGGAUGACACAUGUCAUUUAUUUGAAAGGGGCAAUUGCUCCACUACAAGAUGGACCUGCGUUGUAUUAGCUAGUAGGUGAGGUAACGGCUCACCUAGGCGACGAUACAUAGCCGACCUGAGAGGGUGAUCGGCCACACUGGGACUGAGACACGGCCCAGACUCCUACGGGAGGCAGCAGUAGGGAAUCUUCGGCAAUGGGGGCAACCCUGACCGAGCAACGCCGCGUGAGUGAAGAAGGUUUUCGGAUCGUAAAGCUCUGUUGUAAGUCAAGAACGAGUGUGAGAGUGGAAAGUUCACACUGUGACGGUAGCUUACCAGAAAGGGACGGCUAACUACGUGCCAGCAGCCGCGGUAAUACGUAGGUCCCGAGCGUUGUCCGGAUUUAUUGGGCGUAAAGCGAGCGCAGGCGGUUUGAUAAGUCUGAAGUUAAAGGCUGUGGCUCAACCAUAGUUCGCUUUGGAAACUGUCAAACUUGAGUGCAGAAGGGGAGAGUGGAAUUCCAUGUGUAGCGGUGAAAUGCGUAGAUAUAUGGAGGAACACCGGUGGCGAAAGCGGCUCUCUGGUCUGUAACUGACGCUGAGGCUCGAAAGCGUGGGGAGCGAACAGGAUUAGAUACCCUGGUAGUCCACGCCGUAAACGAUGAGUGCUAGGUGUUGGAUCCUUUCCGGGAUUCAGUGCCGCAGCUAACGCAUUAAGCACUCCGCCUGGGGAGUACGACCGCAAGGUUGAAACUCAAAGGAAUUGACGGGGGCCCGCACAAGCGGUGGAGCAUGUGGUUUAAUUCGAAGCAACGCGAAGAACCUUACCAGGUCUUGACAUCCCGAUGCUAUUUCUAGAGAUAGAAAGUUACUUCGGUACAUCGGUGACAGGUGGUGCAUGGUUGUCGUCAGCUCGUGUCGUGAGAUGUUGGGUUAAGUCCCGCAACGAGCGCAACCCCUAUUGUUAGUUGCCAUCAUUCAGUUGGGCACUCUAGCGAGACUGCCGGUAAUAAACCGGAGGAAGGUGGGGAUGACGUCAAAUCAUCAUGCCCCUUAUGACCUGGGCUACACACGUGCUACAAUGGUUGGUACAACGAGUUGCGAGUCGGUGACGGCAAGCUAAUCUCUUAAAGCCAAUCUCAGUUCGGAUUGUAGGCUGCAACUCGCCUACAUGAAGUCGGAAUCGCUAGUAAUCGCGGAUCAGCACGCCGCGGUGAAUACGUUCCCGGGCCUUGUACACACCGCCCGUCACACCACGAGAGUUUGUAACACCCGAAGUCGGUGAGGUAACCUUUUGGAGCCAGCCGCCUAAGGUGGGAUAGAUGA
rnacentral:rRNA from 1 species